CCUACGGGAGGCAGCAGUAGGGAAUCUUCCGCAAUGGACGAAAGUCUGACGGAGCAACGCCGCGUGAGUGAGGAAGGCCUUCGGGUCGUAAAGCUCUGUUGUGAGGGAAGAACAAGUAUCGGUUGAAUAAGCCGGUACCUUGACGGUACCUCACCAGAAAGCCACGGCUAACUACGUGCCAGCAGCCGCGGUAAUACGUAGGUGGCAAGCGUUGUCCGGAAUUAUUGGGCGUAAAGCGCGCGCAGGCGGCUUCUUAAGUCUGAUGUGAAAUCUCGGGGCUCAACCCCGAGCGGCCAUUGGAAACUGGGGAGCUUGAGUGCAGAAGAGGAGAGUGGAAUUCCACGUGUAGCGGUGAAAUGCGUAGAUAUGUGGAGGAACACCAGUGGCGAAGGCGACUCUCUGGUCUGUAACUGACGCUGAGGCGCGAAAGCGUGGGGAGCAAACAGGAUUAGAUACCCUGGUAGUCCACGCCGUAAACGAUGAGUGCUAGGUGUUAGGGGUUUCGAUGCCCGUAGUGCCGAAGUAAACACAUUAAGCACUCCGCCUGGGGAGUACGACCGCAAGGUUGAAACUCAAAGGAAUUGACGG
rnacentral:rRNA from 1 species